AGCCAGCUCUGCUGAGUUUCCUCCAUACAGGCAGCGAGAUGAGUCAGCGGAGAGCGUGCCGCGGGAUCCACAUGGACCAGUCGGAGCUGCUCUGCAACAAGGGCUGUGGUUACUGUGGCAACGCGACCUAGCAGGGCCUGUGCUCCAAGUGCUGGCGGGAAGAGUGCCAGCGAGCCCAACAGAAGCAGAUCCAGGAAGACUGGGCCCUGGCUGUGAAAUGCAUAGACCUGGCCACUCAGAACAGGAUACGGGCGUUACACUGGGUGGACAUUCAGAUGCUCUGUGUGCCAGUGGAUGAGGAGAUCCCAGCGGUGUCAGACAACGUGGUCAAAGCCAUAACAGACAUCAUCAAGAUGGACUCAAAGCAGGUACCAAGGGAGAGCUAGCGUGCAUCACGCGCUGCAGCAAGCACAUCUUUAGCGCCAUCAAGAUCACCAAAAGCGAGCCAGCCUCGGCAGAUGACUUCCUACCCACCCUAAUCUACAUCGUACUGAAGUCCAAUCCACCAUGCCUGCAAUCCAACAUCCAGUACAUCACCCGCUUCUGCAACCCCAGCAGGUUUGUGAAUGGAGAGGACGGAUACUACUUCACUAACCUGUGCUGUGCAGUUGCCUUCAUUGAAAAACUGGACGCCCAGUCCCUCAACUUGGACCCUGUGGACUUUGAGAGCUACAUGUUGGGCCAGGCCUUCCCUCGCAGGCCAGAGGUGGACAGUGGCUGGCCACAGAUUGACACUGCCGCUUCCAUACCCGCCCUGGCCCAGGUCAACCAGAAUCUGGAUCUCCUGUCAGGCCUGCGGAGCCGGCAGGAAAGGGUUCUGGAGGUGGCGCAGAGCAUGCAGAGUGACCUGAUCACCUGGCAGGAGAGUGUAGAGCGAGAGGUGCAGGAAAUCCUGGAGAAGUACCCGUUGGAGAUCAGCCCACCUUCCCUCUCUGCCAUCGACUCAGACAACAUGGAAAACGACCGGCUGCCACUUACGCCCCAGGUGUUUGCUGGGUAAUAUUUCUCCAGAAUGGGAGGCAAGAGGGCUUCUUGAACUAAUGAUCCCGCCUCUCUGUAAUGCUUUGAGCCGUCAUUGGUCUUUACUAUGGCGAGGUUCAGGAAUUGGCAGCCCCCUCGUGUCUAUACUGCUACCAUUUUAAACAUUCACACACAGUAAGCCAAGUAGGCUUUUGUCAAUUUUUCCCCUAGACCCAAAAGCAUUCACAGAUCUAAAUGAAUAGAUAAAAGGAAGGACUAAGUUUGAGGAAAAGAGUUAAGGGACCUUUAAUGGAACCAAGUCUUUACAAUGUUCCUGCAUACACAUACUCCUUUUAGACUAGCCCUCUUCAGAUCAGAUGGCCUGAGUUGGCAUUGGGCACUAAUCUGUACUCCUCUACAUCCCUGCUGCACUGACACAGAUGGCACACCUUGAUACCGUAAGAUAACUUCUCCACCUUGUCGUGCUGAGGAAAGAGGCAUGUUACUUUUAGAUGGCUGCUGGUGAAUUUGGGAAAUGCUGACUAACAUUUAGUUAUUCUUCAGAUAGAGUGGUACAUGUUACAAACUGUGAAACCUAAAGAGUGACCAAGACUCAAGUUACUGUGUUAUAUACAAAAUGCCAGUGAACUGCUGAUAUGGAUUGUGGCAUGUUGUGCAUCAUAGAAGUAAUUGUGAAAGAUGGAUGAUACCUGGGGAAGAUGGAUGAUACCUGGGGAAUGUUCAGGAAGGUGAAAUGCUCAGAUCAAUGCAGAUUAUUUUGUAUAUGUUGAAGGAACACUUAACAGUUCAAUUUGAAUACAGCAUGAUAUUUACU